AACACUCACGAUGCGCCUCACGACAGUCACAUGCUCUAUCACCCGUCUCCGCAGCCAUGCCAGACCCUGAACCCAUGCACAUUGGAGUCACUCGUCUAUGGUCGGAGGAAAGAGAGUGCAGGAUAAGGAACCAUCUAUGCAUUUACUGUGGGUUGUCACGUCAUCUGAGAGCCAACUGCUCUACUAGACCAGCCUCCAAAGAUACCACCACGGGGAGUUCUAUCCUAUAUACUCUUGAAGUACCUAUCUCCUUGACCAUUACCGAUGUUAUGGUGGAGACAAGGGCUUUAAUAGACUCUGGGGUGGUGGGAAAUUUUAUUGAUAUCCGUUUUGCCAACACUCAUAACCUUCCUCUUCUUCCAUGUAAAUCCUGACUGUCAGUGGCAGCACUAGAUGGAUGCCCUCUGGGCACAGGACUGAUCAAAUUCAGAACCCAAGAACUCACACUAAAGACUGGCUCCCUACACACUCUUUGCCAUCGACUCACCACAGAACCCAGUUAUCCUCGGACUACCCUGGCUGGGGAAACACAACCCCCGGAUUUCCUGGACCGAUUCAACAAUGGUCAGAACCCUGCCAAAAGGAAUGCCUGCAGUUCCAACCCUGUGUCGUAAACUCCAUUCCUUCCUCACAUUUGGAAGACUCGACCAUAUCAGAUCUCCCUGUCGAAUACCAAGAUCUCACAGAGGCAUUCAGCAAGUCAAGGGCUUCUCAACUCCCACCACAUCGAUCCAGUGACUGCGCUAUUGACCUGCAUCCUGGAGAGAUGCCUAUGAAUGGUAGUGUUUCCCCUAUCACAACCACUGUUAGACCAUCCACCUCUCCAGCAUCAGCAGGAUUUUUCUUUGUGAAAAAGGAUGGAGGCCUGCAGCCCUGUAUUGAUUACCGAGGUCUGAAUGAUGUCACGGUCAAGUUUCGAUAUCCACUGCCACUGGUUCCAUCUGCCCUGGAGCAGCUGCGCUCUGCCAAGUAUUUCACCAAGCUCAAUGUCUGCAGUGCCUACAAUCUGAUCCUUAUCCGGGAGGGAGAUGAAUGGAAGACAGCCUUCUCAACCACAUUCGGGCACUACAAAUACCGGGUUAUGCCGUUCAGGCUUUCCAACAGUCCGUCUGUCUUCCAGGCCUACAUCAACAACGUGUUCCGUGAUAUGCUCAAUCGCUGGGUCAUUGUCUACAUUGAUGACAUACUCAU
ensembl:lncRNA